rnacentral:lncRNA from 1 species
GGAGACUCUGCCCCGAGCCGGCCCGGCCGGGUCGCGGUGGCCAACACCGAACGAGGGGCUGCCGCCUGCUGGUGGUGCCCGGCUUCGGGGAAGAGGGGACAGGACUCCCCAGACCGCACCCACGGUUCCAGAGCCCCAGCCAGAGCUGGAGAGCGUUCGGAAGGAAAAGGAACGGGGCGUGGGAGUGGGAAUGUGGAAAAAGGAGUGGGGUCAACAGUUUCGGGCCGCCCACCAGCGACAGAGUCGGGACUGGGGAGGUAAAAAGUACCACCUGCAGUGGGGGGUUCCAGUAGCACCCCGAUCUGAGCCACCUUCUCUCCGAUGAAAGCAACCAUGGCAGGAGUUUCAGUUAACCAUUCACAUAGAAAACCCCCAAACUAUGCAUACAAAGAUACAGCUUUAUAGCAAGAAUGUGACUCCCAUACUAAUAAA